rnacentral:rRNA from 1 species
GUAGGUGGCAAGCGUUGUCCGGAAUUAUUGGGCGUAAAGCGCGCGCAGGCGGUCCUUUAAGUCUGAUGUGAAAGCCCGCGGCUCAACCGUGGAGGGUCAUUGGAAACUGGGGGACUUGAGUACAGAAGAGGAAAGCGGAAUUCCAAGUGUAGCGGUGAAAUGCGUAGAGAUUUGGAGGUACACCAGUGGCGAAGGCGGCUUUCUGGUCUGUAACUGACGCUGAGGCGCGAAAGCGUGGGGAGCAAACAGGGAUUAGAUACCCUGGUAGUCCACGCCGUAAACGAUGAGUGCUAAGUGUUAGGGGGUUUCCCGCCCCCUUAGUGCUGCAGCUAACGCAUUAAGCACUCCGCCUGGGGAGUACGGCCGCAAGGCUG